GGAGGGUGCGAGCGUUAAUCGGAAUUACUGGGCGUAAAGGGCGUGUAGGUGGAUAGAAAAGUUGGAUGUAAAAGUCCCGGGCUCAACCUGGGAAGGUCAUUCGAAACUGUUUAUCUAGAGUACAGUAGAGGGAAGUGGAAUUUCCGGAGUAGCGGUGAAAUGCGUAGAUAUCGGAAGGAACACCAGAGGCGAAGGCGACUUUCUGGACUGUAACUGACACUGAGGCGCGAAAGCGUGGGUAGCGAACAGGAUUAGAUACCCGUGGGUAGUCCACGCCGUAAACGAUGAAACUAGCCGUUGGUACCGCGAGGUAUGAGUGGCGCAGCUAACGCGAUAAGUUUUCCGCCUGGGGAGUACGGCCGCAAGGCUA
rnacentral:rRNA from 1 species